UUUACUUGGUGUCUUCCAUUAAGGUAUUCAACAGCAUACAGAAGAUCGACUUCAUAUGGAUCCAGAGAGAGAGAGAGAGAGAGAGAGAGAGAGAGACCGGAGUCACUGUCACUAGCUGUAGCAAGCUAAGCGGCCAAAUUGCACCAAUGAAAACACUGAAGCAGCACAUCGCAUGUAGAGAAGAUCGAUGGUGAUGAGGAUCAUUCAUGUGGAGGCGGAAGAGGCGUGACUACAAAGCAGCAGUUCCACAAGGGAAGAUGGGGGACCUUCCUAUCACCACCACCACCAUGCAUGGAUUCUGUUGGAUGGCAUUCUGAAAGCCCACCAUUACUCUCUCUCUCUCUCUCUCUCUCUCUCUCCUCUCUUAUAUAUCUGCUAGCCAACCCGCCUUUCUUCUUAUCCUUCUUCUCAAUUCUUGGCUUAGGAUUUCUUUGUUGGUGUGAGAGGUUGAAGCUGCCAGCAUGAUCUGGUCAUCGAAUGCUGCUCAUUCUCUCCAUGGCUGCUUAGAAGCUGCCAAAAGCAUCAAUGGUGGGCAGUCCAAUAAUGGAGAUGUUAGCCGUAGGAAGAUUACCUUGUCUAGAUAGCUGUAGAGACGGAGCUAUAUGCCCUGAAACCCAAUGUUGCAUGUUUAGUUAUGAGUAUUGGUACGAGAAGGAAGUAUCUCAUCUUGAUCCAACAAGGUAAUAGGAUUAAGACCCAAAGAUAUAGCCAUCGUUUGAGGUUCUCAAGAGCUCCAAUGUGUCUUUCCAUCCAGAGAGAUGAGGGGGUUAUUUGAUUCCAUCAGAUCAUCCGGCAGUUUCAAUCACUCACUCACCAACACAAGGCUGCGCUCUUUUGCUCUCUCCCUGAAUGCUCAAAAGAGCUUCCUCUUUGUAGUUUAUGCUAGCUGAUGACUCUUGCUCACAUGAAGAGCCGUCUCGCAUUGUAGCCAUGAAGAAGAGUGUCUCAGAAAUGAGUCAUGAGAACACAAUUCUAGUAUAGACGGAGGAAGAGGAUGAAAACAUGUCUUCUAUUCCAUGUUCUAAGAAGAGAAAGGUGAGACACAAGGCAUAUAUCAGUACACAGAGGUAAGUGUUGGUGGCGUCCACUGCGAUGACAUGGAUAAUAUGGCAAACGACAGUCAUGUUAUGGGGUUGGCUUUGUCACGUAGCAUUCUGGAAUUUCUCAUAAUGUAAUAUAUUUCAUUUUUCUCUAGUGGUGAAUCGAUUCUAUGCAAAUUUUCUUGAA